GUCCAGGGAUGGGAAUCGAACCCACAGUGUUCCGCUUACCGGGCAGAUUCAAUGUCCACUAGGCUACCCUGGA
rnacentral:tRNA from 1 species